CACAAAAUCCAAAAGGAAUUAGGAAUCUUCAAAUUCGUCGGCCCAAACGUCACCCUUUUUCAGUGCUUCUCAUCAUUUAUAAAAACACUUCGAUUUCCUUUCUUUACUCCAAAUCCGACGUUCGUAAAAAAAGACCAGGUGAACUACCUACGCGCCGCCGUCACCACCAUGUCACAGCCUCAUUUCCUCCUAGUGACCUUCCCUGCACAAGGCCACAUAAACCCAACCUUACAAUUUGCCAAGCAUCUUAUACGUAUUGGCGUACGUGUAACUUUCAUCACCUGCAUCUCCGCUCGCCGCCGCAUGAGCAAAGUCCCCACUGCUCAAGGCCUAACGUUUUUACCCUUUUCCGAUGGCUACGACGACGGUUUUCAACCCGGCGAUGACAUAGACCAUUACCUAUCUGAAUUCAGGCGACGAGGCAAAGAAGCCAUCUCCGAGUUUAUAACAAGCAGUGAAAACGAAGGCAAACCCGUCACUUGCAUUGUCUACACCCUGUUCAUCCAUUGGGCCUCGGAGGUGGCGCGUAAACAUCACAUCCCGACAGCUUUACUUUGGAUUCAACCCGCCACCGUUUUCGACAUCUAUUAUUUUUACUUCAACGGAUACGAAACUACCUUUAAAGCUCAAGCUGAUGAAACAAACCCCCAGCGUUCAAUAAAAUUACCAGGUCUGCCGCUACUCGCCACCCGCGACCUUCCGUCGUUCCUAACCGCUUUAAACGUUUACCGUUGGGCACUGUCGUUAAUCCAAGAAAAAAUGGACGUCCUCGCUGAUGAAUCCAACCCCAAAAUCCUUGUUAACACAUUCGAUGCUUUGGAACACGAAGCAUUAAACGCCAUUGAAAAUUUCAACAUGGUCGGCAUCGGACCUUUAAUCCCAUUUUCUUUCUUGAACUCAAAUGACUCCUUGGAUAAUUCCUUGAGAACCGAUCUUUUUCAAUCCGAUUCAAAAGAUUACCUCCAAUGGUUAGACUCGAAACCAAAAUCGGCCGUCGUUUACGUUUCCUUCGGGAGCAUUGCGGUGUUAACGAAGCAACAAGUGGAGGAAAUCGCUCGAGCUUUAAUAUCCAGCCGGCGACCGUUUUUAUGGGUGGUGAGGAACCGGAAAGAUGGAGGCUACGAAGAGAAAGAAGAAGAUAAACUGACUUGCAGGGAAGAAUUGGAACAGUUUGGGAUGGUGGUUCCAUGGUGUUCGCAAGUGGAAGUACUGUUUCAUCCAUCCUUGGGUUGCUUCGUGACGCAUUGUGGGUGGAACUCGACGUUGGAGAGCAUGGUGGCCGGUGUACCAGUGGUGGCUUUCCCUCAAUGGACGGAUCAAAGGACUAAUGCGAAGCUGAUUGAAGAUGUGUGGGGGAAUGGGGUAAGAGUGAGUGCUAAUGAAGAAGGGAUCGUGGAACGGGAUGAGAUCGUUAGGUGCUUGGAUUUGGUGAUGGGGGAUGAUGAGAAAGGGAUGGAAGUGAAGAAAAAUGUAGAGAAAUGGAAAGGGUUAGCCACUGGAGCCGCCAUGGAAGGCGGCUCCAUGGAUAUGAACCUUAAAGCUUUUGUGGAUGAUAUUGCUGAAGGUUGUCGUAAGUAAAAUUAUCACUUUCAAAUCAAUUCAAUGUUUCAAUUCAAUUACCUGUAAUGUACUAUGCGUGCAAUUAUAGAUUUAAUAUAUAUUCUUUAAUUGAAUCAUUUUAAGUCACUAUUUUUUUCGAAUUCUAAAAUUUCCAUCUCGACACAAAUGAUAGUCACUAAUCCAUUAACUAAAAUUUCAAUAAGUAAUAUGUGAAAAUCGCAAACUGAAAUGCUAUUACACAUAUCAUAAUAUGUUUUGUUGCAUUAAAUUUUGAAAAUAACAGAAUUUAAUGAAUUUAACAAUUAUCGUUUAGUAAAGACUGAAAUUUUAAAAUUUUAAAAGUAAUAGAAUUAAAAAUAACCCAAUUAAAGUAUAAAUAUUAAAUCUACAAUUUUUAUAAAGUAAGACCAAUAAUAAAAUUUAAUAUUGUUUUUUUCUUGAAAGAAAUUGGAAGUGACCAUUAAGUACAAUAUGUGAUAGGGAUGGGAGAAUAUGAAUGGUGUGAUAGAUUUUGAAUGUAGGAAACAAACUUUUUUGAAAUGUGGUUGUAAGAUGGAGUGGGUUGGAUUUUUGUGUGUGUGGUCAAUGUGUAAUUCUUUGCCUUUAUAAAAGUAUCAUUUUAUCCAUUUAAUAUGUAUAACUAUUUAAAUAUGUAGAAAUGUGAAAAUGUAUUAUAGAAAAGCCUUUAUUUUUAAUUAAUGAGCUCUAACCGAUGAUUUAACAAUCAUAUGGUGGAUUAGUACUCAUCGACGAGUAGAGGAAAUCGCUUGAGCUUUAUUAUCCAGCUGACAACCGUUUUUAUGGGUGGUGAGGAACUGGAAAGAUGGAGGCUACGAAGAGAAAGAAGAAGAUAAACUGACUUGCAGGGAAGAAUUGGAACAGUUUGGGGUGGUGCUUCCAUGGUGUUUGCCAGUGGAAGUAUUGUCUCAUCGUCGUUGGAUUGCUUCGUGACACAUUGUGGGUGAAACUCGACGUUGGAAAGCAUGGUGGCCAUUGUACCAGUGGUGGCUUUCCCUCAAUGGACGGAUCAAGGGACUAAUGCGAAGCUGAUUGAAGAUGUGGGGGGAAUGGGGUGAGAGUGAGUGCUAAUGAAGAAGGGAUCAUGAAACGUGAUGAGAUUGUUAGGUGCUUGGGUUUGGUGAUGGGGGAUGAGGAGAAAGGGAUGCAAGUGAAGAAGAAUGUUGUGAAAUGGAAAGGGUUAGCGGAGAGGCCGCCAUGGAAGGUGGUUCCUUGGAUAUCAACCUUAAAGUUUUUGUGGAUGAUGUUGCUCAAGGUUGUUGCAAGUAAAUUUAUCUUUUCAUAUAAUUAUCUCCAUUUAUAUUUCGAAUUCUUAAAUCAAGAAAUAAUAUUUUUAAAAACGAUCAAAUUCCUCUUAACUGUUGUAAUAAUAAUAAUAAUAAUAUCAAAUUAAUGAUCUAAAAUUCGAUGGAAUGUUACAAAUAAAUUUCUAAUUUAUGUUUGUAUUAAAUUUAUGCUUAAAUUAAUUUUGGCCUAUGGUGUAAGUUUUUUUUAAAAAAAUUUUAAUGGCCAAAUUUAAUUAAUAACAUCAACAAUUGAAUUUUAAAUUUUAAGUCAAACUAAGAGACUAAAAUUUAAAAAUUAAAAGUAGUGGAUUAAAUUUUUAAAAAAAUUGCAAAAGAGUACAAGAAUUGGAGGUAUACUUAAAAAAAAUAUUAAAAUUUUCUUUUCUCCUCCAAUAAUAGAAUCUAAAGCUACGCACCUUUAUAAAAAUUAAAAAAAGAAUUAAUUGUCCAAGAUAAAUAUUAAAUAAUAAUAUUUAUGGACUUGAGUACAUGAAAUUUAUUGUUGGUCAUUUAAUUUAUCAUUUAACAAUUACUUUUGUUUUGGCUAUUGAGAAAAUUUUCUAGCCCUUAUAAUGUGUAUAUAUAUAUCUCCAUAUUAUUGGAUGUGUUUCUUUUUAUUAAAUUACAUAGCCUAAGGUUGCUUAUUGCGAUUAUGGUAAUUUGCUGCACCAUCCCCUGACUAAUUCUUCUCAUUUUUAGUGUUAGCAUUCUCCUACUUAAAAUCAGGGUCUCAUGUUGCUUUUUGAGCGUCAUUAUACCAUUCUCCUCUUUAACCCGCCGAAAAAUUCUGCUUUCGAUUCUGGAGAAGCUGCCACCCUUGAAGUCAAAAGUACCCUGUCAGCUUCCAAAGAUGCUGCCUCAUCAAAAGCCUUCUCCUCUUGUCCUACUACAAAUUGGAUUGAGAGCACCAAAGCCAUUGAGAACACAACCAAAAAAACCUUCACAAUCUUUUUUUAUUUUCUAAAAUGGUUAAGAAAAAAAAGUAAACAUAUAUUUUUAUUUAUGCUUAAGGUUGAAAAUGAGACGAAAUUUAAAGAGUUUAAAAUGAGAUAUUUUGGGCGAAUUUAGGGGUGGUUGACUAGUCUAGUGCCUAAUAACCAUACACGACAAAAAUACAUAUAACUGUUCUCCACAUUUUCAAUGGUCAUGUUUGUCACAAUUUUUGGUGGUUUAAAUUUACUUCUUUUUGUUUCACUCGAAUACGUUGUGGGUGAUCGUUUAAAUUUUUUUAUUUUAUAAUUUUCACAUAUUUUUUUCAUUUAUUUAAAAUUUCAACCAAACAAAUUUUCUCAAUUUUUUUUUCUACUUUUAGGAAAACAAAAAGAAAAAGAAAUCUUUAAUUUCUGAACCUAAAUAUACCCUAAACCUUUGCCUCCGACUCAUAAGAUAUUAAGAAUAAGGUAAUUAUUUGGUACACACCAAAUGUAAAUUUUUUAUUAAGUUGGGAUUUUGCCUCUUAUCAUAUAUAUAUAUAUAUAAUAUAAUUUUUUGAAUAUAAAUUAAAGAAGAAAUAAUAAAAUCUCAACUUGAUUUAUGAAAUAAAAGCCUUUCACCGUCCUACCGAACGAACAUUUCCCCUCGUUGUAUCACAAUAAUCAUUGUAAUCAUAAUGACAAUCAUAAUGACAAAAGAAAGAAAAAGCUGUGGGGUAUGAUAUUCACUACCCUCCAAUUAUGAGACUUAUAAUAGAGGGGAAUUAAGAAAAAAAAUUUUAGAGUCGAAAUUAAAUAGUAAUUUUUAUGGUAGUAAAAAUAUAAAUUUUAAAGGAUUAAAUUAAAAUUUUAUUGUUAAAAAAAAAGUUAAAGUGCAACUUUUCUUUUACUAAUUUAAAAUUUUAAAAUUUUUUAAAAAGUCUAAAAAAUAAAUGAUAAUAGAAUAAUUCUAAAAUCUUUGUCAUAUGCGCCAACUUGAGUUUUUGCGUCAAAUAUUUCGUGCUAUUUGUAUAUCCGCUCAUUUCUUGACACAUUACAUAAUAAUUAUAACUACUUAUAACAUGAUUAAAUUCCACGUUCUUAAAAGUAGAUUAACUACCUACGCGCCGCCGUCACCACAAAAUAUUUUAUAUUCGGUUUUGCAAUUGCUUUUAACUUCGGUCACAAACAAAAUUUUUUACUUACACAAACAAAAUUUUUUACUUAGUUAUUAAUAAUAAAAGUGGAUUAUUUUAUUAAAAAAUAAUUUAUAUUUUAUUUACGUUGUAUAAUAAUUAUAUCUACAUAAAAAAUAAUCGAUUAAAUUUCAAAUUACGUAAAAUUUAUUUCCAAAAUUAAUUAAUAUAAUUCAUAAAAAUACUUCGUAUUAUCAAUGUGUCAACUUAGUUUAAUGUCAAACUUAAAAAAAUGUAUAAUGUGAACAUGGCUAAAAAUUUUCUUUUUUAGAUAAAACCUUAAAAUAAUAUUUUACGGAUUUUUACUUAUAUAAUAUAAAAAAUUGAAAUUAAUAACUAAAAUAGCAUGCCCAUGAGAUUAUUUACCAAAAUGGUAUGUUUACUAUGGUGUUUUACUGGUGCCUCUUGUCAAAUUAGCAGUACCAAACUGAAAUGUAAUGAUCUAAAGUAUUUAGGGAUCGCAAAUUUUUCAUUUUGAGUGGUUGUUGGAGACAAAAGUGAAAUGGUGUCGAAUGUCAGUAGUGUUGUGGAACUAGACCUUAAAUGUGGCUAAUUUGCUUGCAAGCCCUCAUUAUUUGUUAUUUUCUUUUUAUUCCCUUUCAACUCACUACAUUGAGUUUAAACAAACCCUUAACUUAUUUUUGUAGUUAAAUAAGUCCUUAACUUGAUUUUUACUCAUAAAAUCCCUUUAUUUUAAUAUUAAAGUAAAUAUGUUAUACCCAUAUUAAAGGGCUUUUUAGUAUUUUAGCCCUGCUAGACUAUAUGUUGUUGAACCUGACACUUACAUUGCAGAAAUUGUUUGAUUAUUUUCAAUGCAUAAGAACCAAUGAAAACAUAGAUGGAAUGCUAAUAUACUAAAAAAUGUUUAAACAAGCUUUUAUACUGUUUUUGUAGUUAAAUAGGCCCUCAAAUUAUGAUUUUUACCCAUAAAAGUCCUAAAUUUUAAUAUUAAAGUAAAACUAUUUAAAAAAUAUAUAAACUAAUUCGUAUUUUAUGUUGAUAUGAAUUUGAUGAGAAUAGUUUAUUAAAUAAAAAAUAAAAAAUUAAAAUUUGUUUAGAGUGCUUAUAUACAUGACAUGCUUAAUUACUAUUCUGAAAUUUCUGAUUACUUUUUUAGAUUUUAUGUUUAUGUUAAAUUGUAUAUAAUUUUUAUUGCAUCAACAAGAAAUUAAGAUAAGAGCUUGAAAUUCAAAAUAUAUUUACUUUAAUAUUAAAAUAAAGAGCUUUUAUGAGUAAAACCUAUUGGUUAAGAGCUUAUUUAACUACAAAAAAAAGUUAAGGGCUUGUUUAAAUACGAUAUAAUGAGUUGAAGGGGAAUAAAAAGAAAAUAAUAUAUAAUGAUGGUUUACAAGGCAAUUAGCCACAUUUAAGCAGCACCAUUUCACUUCUUUUUCCGGUAGUCACUUAAAAUGGGAAUUUGCACUUCAAAUCCCUAAAUACUUUAAAUUAUUACAUUUCAGUCUGAUACCACCUGACACCAACAAAACAGUACAAUAACAGACAUACCAUUUUGAUGUAUAUAUAUUCGGUUUUGCUAUUGUUUUUAACUUCGGCUUUUAAUUUGUCACAAAAUUUUUGGAUAAUUUUUUUAAAAAAUUAAUUAUAUUUUAAUUUAACAUAUAGAAAUUAAUGAGUCCCUACAACAAGAAUGUGUGUGAUGACAACGUGAUGACUGUUUCUCCACGAAUUAGGAAUCUUCAAAUUCGUCAGGCCAAACGUCACCCUUUCAGUGCUUCUCAUCAUUUAUAAAAACACUUCGAUUUCCUUUCUUAGUUACUCCAAAUCCGAUGUUAGUAAAAAAAGACCAGGUGAACUACCUACGCGCCGCCGUCACCACCAUGUCACAGCCUCAUUUCCUCCUAGUGACCUUCCCUGCACAAGGCCACAUAAACCCAACCUUACAAUUUUCCAAGCAUCUUAUACGUAUUGGCGUACGUGUAACUUUCAUCACCUGCAUCUCCGCUCGCCGCCGCAUGAGCAAAGUCCACACUGCUCAAGGCCUAACGUUUUUACCCUUUUCCCAUGGCUACAACGACGGUUUUCAACCCGGCGAUGACAUAGACCAUUAC
rnacentral:lncRNA from 1 species